UACGUAGGGUGCGAGCGUUAAUCGGAAUUACUGGGCGUAAAGCGUGCGCAGGCGGUUUUGUAAGUCAGAUGUGAAAUCCCCGGGCUUAACCUGGGAACUGCGUUUGAAACUACAAGGCUAGAGUGUGGCAGAGGGGGGUGGAAUUCCACGUGUAGCAGUGAAAUGCGUAGAGAUGUGGAGGAACACCGAUGGCGAAGGCAGCCAUCUGGACCGACACUGACGCUGAGGCGCGAAAGCGUGGGGAGCAAACAGG
rnacentral:rRNA from 1 species